UACGGGAGGCAGCGGUGGGGAAUAUUGCACAAUGGGCGAAAGCCUGAUGCAGCUAUGCCGCGUGUAUGAAGAAGGCCUUAGGGUUGUAAAGUACUUUCAUCGGGGAGGAAAAAACAAAACUAAUAAUUUUAUUUCUUGACGUUACCCGAAAAAGAAGCGCCGGCUAACUCCGUGCCAGCAACCGCGGUAAUACGGAGGGUGCUAGCGUUAAUCAGAAUUACUGGGCGUAAAGAGCACGUAGGUGGUUUUUUUAAGUCAGAUGUGAAAUCCCUGGGCUUAACCUAGGAACUGCAUUUUGAAAACUGAAAUACUAGAGUAUCGUAGAGGGAGGUAGAAUUCUAGGUGUAGCGGUGAAAUGCGUAGAUAUCUGGAGGAAUACCUGUGGCGAAAGCGGCCUCCUAAACGAAUACUGACACUGAGGUGCGAAAGCGUGGGGAGCAAACAGGGAUUUAGAUACC
rnacentral:rRNA from 1 species